rnacentral:rRNA from 1 species
AUUGAACGCUGGCGGCAGGCCUAACACAUGCAAGUCGAGCGAGCGGCGGACGGGUGAGUAAUGUUAGGGGACUGCCCGAUAGCGGGGGAUAACUACCGGAAACGGUAGCUCAUACCGCAUCCUUUUGGAUUACCCAUAUGGGAUUAGCUUGUCGGUGAGGUACGGGCUCACCUAGGGGACGAUCCCUAGCUGGGCUGCGAGGAUGAUCAGCCACACUGGGACUGAGACACGGCCCAGACUCCUACGGAGGCAGCAGUGGGGAAUAUUGCACAAUGGGCGCAAGCCUGAUGCAGCCAUGCCGCGUGUAUGAAGAAGGCCCUAGGGUUGUAAAGUACUGUCAGUCGGGAGGCGUUACCGACAGAAGAAGCACCGGCUAACUCCGUGCCAGCAGCCGCGGUAAUAC